rnacentral:rRNA from 1 species
GCACCCGCACAAGCGGUGGAGCAUGCUGUUUAAUUCGAAGAUACGCGAAGAACCUUACCUAGACUUGACAUCCCUGGCAAAGCUAUAGAAAUAUAGUAGAGGUUAUCCAGGUGACAGGUGGUGCAUGGUUGUCGUCAGCUCGUGUCGUGAGAUGUUCGGUUAAGUCCGAUAACGAGCGCAACCCUCGUCAUUAGUUACUAACAGUUCGGCUGAGGACUCUAAUGAUACUGCCGGUGGUAAACCGGAGGAAGGCGGGGAUGACGUCAAAUCAUCAUGCCCCUUACGUCUAGGGCUACAGGCGUGCUACAAUGGCUGGUACAAAGAGAAGCAAUACCGUGAGGUGGAGCAAAUCUCCAAAGCCAGUCUCAGUUCGGAUUGAAGUCUGCAACUCGACUUCAUGAAGCUGGAAUCGCUAGUAAUCCUGAAUCAGAAUGUCAGGGUGAAUACGUUCCCGGGUGUU